rnacentral:rRNA from 1 species
GUGCCAGCCGCCGCGCUAAUACCGGCAGUUCGAGUGAUGGCCGCUUUUAUUGGGCCUAAAGCGUUCGUAGCUGGCCGAGCAAGUCUGUCGGGAAAUCCAGUGGCUUAACCACUGGACGUCCGGCGGAAACUGUUCGGCUUGGGACCGGAAGGCUCGAAGGGUACGUUCGGGGUAGGAGUGAAAUCCCAUAAUCCCGCACGGACCACCGAUGGCGAAAGCACUUCGAGAAAACGGAUCCGACAGUGAGGGACGAAAGCCAGGGUCUCCAACCGGAUUAGAUACCCGUGUAGUCC